rnacentral:RNase_P_RNA from 1 species
AGACAGUCGCUCAUUGAUCAUUUCAUUGAGAGGAAAGUCCGGACACCUUAAGGCAGUGCCGCCGCACGAAAGUGCGGGAAGCUGAAAGCGAAAGCUCCAGUUUACGGAAAGUGUCACAGAAAAUAUACCGCCUGAACGGGUCUAAGCCUGAUCAGGUAAGGGUGAAAUGGCGAGUUAAGAGCUCACCGCCCCGAGGGUAACUGAGGGGGCAUGACAAACCCCGUGCGGUGCAAGACAGAACAGGGAAAACGGGUAGCCUGCCCGGCCUCUUCGGAGAUGAUCCCGGGUAAUAGUCGCAGCAUGGUUCCGCCCAGCUCCUGUCAUUUGACAGGAAGAUAAAUGGCUGUCACCUGUCCCGCUCCGGUGAGGCAGGACACAGAAUCCGGCUUAUGAGGGUACU